CAUUUCCCUGUAACUCUGUGCCACUCCUUGUAAUUGCUGCAGAAAUGUAAUUGCCACUCUGUGUAAUUGCUGCAGAAACAAUCUGAGCUGUCAUUGACUUACAUUGUUCACCCAUCAGGAGAAACUGGCAGAUCAGAUUCACCCCACCAUCAGAGACAUGCUGCAUAUGCAUCUACAUCUGAGGCAGGCACUGAGGGCUCCCAUUACAAGCAAUGGAGAUCUAGAAAAUACAGAAGAAUGAAAUCAGGAAGAUAAACAGACAAGAUGCAAUGGAAAAAUCAGCAUUCUUCAGGAUGCUGCUAUGGUGUCGGUCUUGUGGUGGCUACUUUGGCCAUCAUGCAGAUUCCAAAGGGAAGACUGGCACAUGCAUGCCUGUGCUUUCACGCCAUCCCCAAGAGAAUGCAACUGUGCCACAUGUUGUGCUGGGUUUUCUACUCUGACAUAAGUGCGUGCUAAGUCCAAAUGGCAGGAGGUCCCAGCAGCUGAGCUUGGAGGACAAGAGCUUGCUCUACACCCCUUCAUCCUCUGUGCUACUGCCUGAUCCAGCCACACUCCACCACAAACACUGAUGGGGACAAAAUGCACCUUUUGUAAAAUGCAUCAAUUAAAGUUCAUAAAUACAAUUGGUUAUAAUUUAGAUAUGUUUCACUGUGAACUACUGGAAAAAAAGAAUCCUAUUUUUCCCCUUU